rnacentral:tRNA from 1 species
GCCCGGGUGGUGAAAUGGUAUACACGCAACACUUAAAAUGUUGUGGAAGUGAUUCCGUGCCGGUUCGAGUCCGGCCCCGGGCACAA